rnacentral:rRNA from 1 species
AGAGUUUGAUCCGGGCUCAGGAUAGACGCUAGCUACAGGCUUAACACAUGCAAGUCGAGGGGAAACGAUAUUGGAAGCUUGCUUCCGAUAGGCGUCGACCGGCGCACGGGUGAGUAACGCGUAUCCAACCUGCCCACCACUUGGGGAUAACCUUGCGAAAGUAAGACUAAUACCCAAUGACGUCUCUAGAAGACAUCUGAAAGAGAUUAAAGAUUUAUCGGUGAUGGAUGGGGAUGCGUCUGAUUAGCUUGUUGGCGGGGUAACGGCCCACCAAGGCGACGAUCAGUAGGGGUUCUGAGAGGAAGGCCCCCCACAUUGGAACUGAGACACGGUCCAAACUCCUACGGGAGGCAGCA